UACAGGGGGGGCAAGCGUUGUCCGGAAUUACUGGGCGUAAAGGGUCUGUAGGUGGCCAACUAAGUCAGACGUGAAAUCCCUCAGCUUAACUGGGGAACUGCGUCUGAUACUGGAUGGCUUGAGUGUGGGAGAGGAAUGCGGAAUUCCAGGUGUAGCGGUGAAAUGCGUAGAUAUCUGGAGGAACACCGGUGGCGAAGGCGGCAUUCUGGACCAUAACUGACACUGAGAGACGAAAGCCAGGGGAGCAAACGGG
rnacentral:rRNA from 1 species